rnacentral:rRNA from 1 species
AAUCAACGCUGGCGGCGUGCCUCAGACAUGCAAGUCGAACGAUUAAACUUUCCUUCGGGAAAGAUAUAAAGUGGCGCACGGGUGAGUAACACGUAGGUAAUGUACCUUUGGGUGGGGAAUAACCAUCGGAAACGAUGGCUAAUACCGCAUAAUGCAGCGGCAUCGCAAGAUGACAGUUGUUAAAGAUUUAUCGCCUAAAGAGCAGCCUGCGGCAGAUUAGGUAGNGGUAAGGUAAUGGCUUACCAAGCCUGCGAUCUGUAACCGACCUGAGAGGGUGGUCGGUCACACUGACACUGAGUAACGGGUCAGA